rnacentral:rRNA from 1 species
UUACCGAGUUUACAACUCCCAAACCCCUGUGAACAUACCAAUUGUUGCCUCGGCGGAUCAGCCCGCUCCCGGUAAAACGGGACGGCCCGCCAGAGGACCCCUAAACUCUGUUUCUAUAUGUAACUUCUGAGUAAAACCAUAAAUAAAUCAAAACUUUCAACAACGGAUCUCUUGGUUCUGGCAUCGAUGAAGAACGCAGCAAAAUGCGAUAAGUAAUGUGAAUUGCAGAAUUCAGUGAAUCAUCGAAUCUUUGAACGCACAUUGCGCCCGCCAGUAUUCUGGCGGGCAUGCCUGUUCGAGCGUCAUUUCAACCCUCAAGCCCCCGGGUUUGGUGUUGGGGAUCGGCGAGCCCUUGCGGCAAGCCGGCCCCGAAAUCUAGUGGCGGUCUCGCUGCAGCUUCCAUUGCGUAGUAGUAAAACCCUCGCAACUGGUACGCGGCGCGGCCAAGCCGUUAAACCCCCAACUUCUGAAUGUUGACCUCGGAUCAGGUAGGAAUACCCGCUGAACUUAAGCAUAUCAAUAA